rnacentral:rRNA from 1 species
AACGAACGCUGGCGGCAGGCCUAACACAUGCAAGUCGAACGGCAGCACAGUGGAGCUUGCUCCAUGGGUGGCGAGUGGCGGACGGGUGAGGAAUACAUCGGAAUCUGCCCAGUCGUGGGGGAUAACAUAGGGAAACUUAUGCUAAUACCGCAUACGACCUACGGGUGAAAGCGGGGGAUCGCAAGACCUCGCGCGAUUGGAUGAGCCGAUGUCCGAUUAGCUAGUUGGCGGGGUAAUGGCCCACCAAGGCGACGAUCGGUAGCUGGUCUGAGAGGAUGAUAAGCCACACUGGAACUGAGACACGGUCCAGACUCCUACGGGAGGCAGCAGUGGGGAAUAUUGGACAAUGGGCGCAAGCCUGAUCCAGCCAUGCCGCGUGGGUGAAGAGGGCCUUCGGGUUGUAAAGCCCUUUUGUCCGGAAAGAAAAGCCUCGGAUUAAUACCCUGGGGUGAUGACGGUACCAGGAGAAUAAGCACCGGCUAACUCCGUGCCAGCAGCCGCCGUAAUAC